rnacentral:rRNA from 1 species
AGCGAACGCUGGCGGCAGGCCUAACACAUGCAAGUCGAACGAACCUUUCGGGGUUAUUGGCGGACGGGUGAGUAACACGUGGGAACGUGCCCUUAUGUUCGGCCUAACUCAGGGACACUUGUGCUAAUACCGAAUGUGCCCUUCGGCGGGAAGAUUUAUCGCCUUUAGAGCGGCCCGCGUCUGAUUAGCUAGUUGGUUGAGGUAAUGGUUCACCAAGGCGACGAUCAGUAGCUGGUCUGAGAGGAUGAUCAGCAACAUUGGGACUGUGACACGGCCCAAACUCCUACGGGAGGCAGCAGUGGGGAAUCUUGCGCAAUGGGCGAAAGCCUGACGCAGCCAUGCCGCGUGAAUGAUGAAGGUCUUAGGAUUGUAAAAUUCUUUCACCGGGGACGAUAAUGACGGUACCCGGAGAAGAAGCCCCGGCUAACUUCGUG